GCUAAGAGAAGGCAAGAAAUGAAGUCCUGGUUCAAACAUUGGCAUUACAAAGAUUUUCUUGGCUGGAUCAUAUGGCGCACAGUCUACAUACUAAUGUGACAUGGGAGAGACUUUCAUCAUAAAGAACCCAAUUUCGAAAAAUAUGUUGGCUUAUGAGAUUUCAAACUUACUCCCACCACUCAACGUCACUAUUGCUUCCCUCUAUGCGGAUGCCUCUUCAAACAAAUAGUUACAAAGAGAUGCACCAUGGAAAGCAUUCUAACUGAAUGCAUCUCAGCAUGGUAUGGCAACUAUUUUUCCUAAAAUCAAAAGAAGUUGCAGCGAGGUGUGAACACCACCCAGUCCAUCACACAGAACUUCCUACCAUUGACUCCAUCUAUAUUUCCCACUGCAUCCAGAAAGCAACCAACAUCAUCAAAGACCCCUCCCACCCUGGUUGUACUCUCUUCCACAGUCUUCCAUCGGGCAGAAGAUGAUAUAAAAGUUUGUAUACAUGUACAAACAUGUUUAACAACAGCUUCUUCCUUGCCGUUGUCAAACUUUUGAAUGGACCUCUUUAAUGUUAAUAUUGAUCUCUUGCUCUGCACCUUCUCGGCAGCUGUAACUCUGUUCUGUUACCCUGAUGGACUUGUAAAGCACUUAAGUGCUUUUCUCUGUACCUUGGUACACGUGACAGUGAUACAUCAAACUAAAUCAUUGUGCUGUCUCUCGCUCCAACUCUCACUUUAUCACAAAUUCCAAUGAUCUAUAGGCUUUGACACAACAUUUGGGACCACUUUGUUACUUUAUUGCCUUAUACCCAUUUUUAUAUCUGAAUCUUUCCACUAUGUCCUUAACCCUUAGCUUUCAUGUUUUGAUUUUAGAGAUACAAUCGUCUCCAAAAGGUAAUUUUGUAUCU